rnacentral:rRNA from 1 species
AUGCGUAGGGGGCGAGCGUUGUCCGGAAUGAUUGGGCGUAAAGGGCGCGUAGGCGGCCCGGUAAGUCUGGAGUGAAGGUCCUGCUUUUAAGGUGGGAAUUGCUUUGGAUACUGUCGGGCUUGAGUGCAGGAGAGGUAAGUGGAAUUCCCAGUGUAGCGGUGAAAUGCGUAGAGAUUGGGAGGAACACCAGUGGCGAAGGCGACUUACUGGACUGUAACUGAUGCUGAGGCGCGAAAGUGUGGGGAGCAAACAGGAUUAGAUACCCUGGUAGUCCACACUGUAAACGAUGAAUGCUAGGUGUAGGGGGUAUCGACCCCUUCUGUGCCGCAGUUAACACAAUAAGCAUUCCGCCUGGGGAGUACGGCCGCAAGGUUGAAACUCAAAUGAAUUGACGGGG